GAUGAACGCUGGCGGCGUGCUUAACACAUGCAAGUCGAACGGGAAUUCUUUUAUUGCAACUUCGGUCGAUUUAAUUUAAUUCUAGUGGCGGACGGGUGAGUAACGCGUGGGUAACCUGCCUUAUACAGGGGGAUAACAGUCAGAAAUGGCUGCUAAUACCGCAUAAGCGCACAGAGCUGCAUGGCUCAGUGUGAACAACUCCGGAGGUCUAAGAUGGACCCGCGUUGGAUUAGCUUGUUGGCAGGGUAACGGCCUACCAAGGCGACGAUCCAUAGCCGGCCUGAGAGGGUGAACGGCCACAUUGGGACUGAGACACGGCCCAGACUCCUACAGGAGGCAGCAGUGGGGAAUAUUGCACAAUGGGGGAAACCCUGAUGCAGCGACGCCGCGUGAAGGAAGAAGUAUCUCGGUAUGUAAACUUCUAUCAGCAGGGAAGAUAGUGACGGUACCUGACGAAGAAGCCCCGGCUAACUACGUG
rnacentral:rRNA from 1 species